AUUGAACGCUGGCGGCAUGCCUUACACAUGCAAGUCGAACGGUAACAGGUCCUCGGAUGCUGACGAGUGGCGAACGGGUGAGUAAUACAUCGGAACGUGCCUAGUAGUGGGGGAUAACUACUCGAAAGAGUGGCUAAUACCGCAUGAGAUCUACGGAUGAAAGCAGGGGAUCGCAAGACCUUGUGCUACUAGAGCGGCCGAUGGCAGAUUAGGUAGUUGGUGGGAUACAAGCUUACCAAGCCGACGAUCUGUAGCUGGUCUGAGAGGACGAUCAGCCACACUGGGACUGAGACACGGCCCAGACUCCUACGGGAGGCAGCAGUGGGGAAUUUUGGACAAUGGGCGAAAGCCUGAUCCAGCAAUGCCGCGUGCAGGAUGAAGGCCUUCGGGUUGUAAACUGCUUUUGUACGGAACGAAAAGCCCCGGGUUAAUACCCUGGGGUCAUGACGGUACCGUAAGAAUAAGCACCGGCUAACUACGUGCCAGCCGCCGCGGUAA
rnacentral:rRNA from 1 species